ensembl:lncRNA
ACAGACAUUACACAUAUGUAUAAUAAUUAAAUGUGCAGAAUCUUUGGGGAUUGGACUCUGUCCUAAAGCCGGAAAAUCAAGGGGCCGUGAUGCAGAGUUCUGCUUGACAGAAUCCCCCCAAAAGAUGAAUUUUAUAUGGAUAAAAUGAACAGUCUUACCUACCGCUGCAUCCUAAGCAAGAGAGAACAUUAGUCACGCGAGAAACGGUUUACAUCGUCAUUUUAGCUGAGCUAGCCGGAGUAGCCCCAGUGACUAGUACUGCAAAAAACACCCACUAAUGUGCCAAGAUCCGACUGGUCACAGAGGAAACGGCGGUCACAUUAGACCCAGAGAAAACGGCGGUCACGGUCGAGAGCACCACCACCAGUUAUAUGCACGACUUACCAGGUAGUUUCAAAACUCGUUGAUUCAGAGUAUCGUGGCGAGGUCAGAAUGAGGCCAGGGUCUUGUGGCCUCACAUAACCCGCCCCAAAAACUCAGAUGCCCUGCAUCGGUCUCCACGUCCUGACUCAGACCACCCUGCUGUGGUAGAGAUGUUACACAACUUGCAGUCGCGCAGGGAGAUGAAGCUGAGGGCUAAUUGUUUCUCUCUGUCUGAAUUGGCCCUCGUCUCGGUAUCGCAUCCGGUUGCGCACUGAAAUGACACCUGGCAGCAAUACAGAGAGAACCCCUUAAAAAAAGGUUUGACAGCAACUAUAUGAUUGGUUUAGAGCCACAUAGCUGCCUCUGUUGGUCGCAUACACCCGGGCGCAGCCAAUCUCCGCUGAUUGGAUAAUUCUGGGAGACCAGCUGAAGCAUAUCUAAAUUACGUGUGGCAUAAAGGGAGUCUUUCUUCUAGAACUACCGCUAAAGCUCCAUUUAGUAUGUUUGAAUUUGCGGUUUCUGUCCCUUUUCUUAGCUGGAAAUGGUCUGUGAUAUGAGUGAUAUUAGAUAAGUAUUUGAAGGGACAUGCAAUUCUUGCUUUCAUGUAUGCAUAUGCUAUACUUUCCUGUAUGGAUGCUGUGAGACAAGUUGAAUCCUUCUCUUUUCACA